rnacentral:rRNA from 1 species
GGCGCACGGGUGCGUAACGCGUAUGCAAUCUACCUUUCACAAAGGAAUAGCCCAGAGAAAUUUGGAUUAAUACCUUAUAGUAAUACGACUUGGCAUCAAGAUGUAUUUAAAGAUUUAUCGGUGAAAGAUGAGCAUGCGUCCCAUUAGCUAGUUGGUAAGGUAACGGCUUACCAAGGCAACGAUGGGUAGGGGUCCUGAGAGGGAGAUCCCCCACACUGGUACUGAGACACGGACCAGACUCCUACGGGAGGCAGCAGUGAGGAAUAUUGGACAAUGGGCGCAAGCCUGAUCCAGCCAUGCCGCGUGCAGGAUGACGGUCCUAUGGAUUGUAAACUGCUUUUAUACGAGAAGAAACACUCCGACGUGUCGGAGCUUGACGGUAUCGUAAGAAUAAGGAUCGGCUAACUCCGUGCCAGCAGCCGCGGUAACACGGAGGAUCCAAGCGUUAUCCGGAAUCAUUGGGUUUAAAGGGUCCGUAGGCGGUCAGAUAAGUCAGUGGUGAAAGCCCAUCGCUCAACGGUGGAACGGCCAUUGAUACUGUCUGACUUGAAUUAUUAGGAAGUAACUAGAAUAUGUAGUGUAGCGGUGAAAUGCUUAGAGAUUACAUGGAAUACCAAUUGCGAAGGCAGGUUACUACU